CAGCAGCCGCGGUAAUACAGAGGGUGCGAGCGUUAAUCGGAUUUACUGGGCGUAAAGCGUGCAUAGGCGGCUUUUUAAGUCGGAUGUGAAAUCCCUGAGCUUAACUUAGGAAUUGCAUUCGAUACUGGGAAGCUAGAGUAUGGGAGAGGAUGGUAGAAUUCCAGGUGUAGCGGUGAAAUGCGUAGAGAUCUGGAGGAAUACCGAUGGCGAAGGCAGCCAUCUGGCCUAAUACUGACGCUGAGGUACGAAAGCAUGGGGAGCAAACAGGAUUAGAUACCCCAGUAGUCCCUGUCUCUUAUAC
rnacentral:rRNA from 1 species